rnacentral:rRNA from 1 species
CCGUUAACGAACGAGACCUCGACCUGCUAAAUAGUAUGCCGAAUCACGAUUCGGACUAGAAGGACUAUCGGUGUGUAGCGGAAGUUCGAGGCAAUAACAGGUCUGUGAUGCCCUUAGAUGUUCUGGGCCGCACGCGCGCUACACUGAUACGUUCAUCGAGCUUACAACCUUGACUGAGAGGUCUGGGUAAUCUUUAAAAUCGUAUCGUGCUGGGGAUAGAUUAUUGUAAUUUUUAAUCUUCAACGAGGAAUUCCUAGUAAACGCGAGUCAUCAGCUCGCAUUGAUUACGUCCCUGCCCUUUGUACACACCGCCCGUCGCUAGUACCGAUUGAAUGGAUA